GGGCGGUUAGCUCAGUUGGAAGAGCGUCUGUCUCACGCACAGAAGGUCAGAGGUUCAAGCCCUCUACCGCCCACCA
rnacentral:tRNA from 1 species